GUGGGGAAUCUUAGACAAUGGGGGCAACCCUGAUCUAGCCAUGCCGCGUGAGUGAUGAAGGCCUUAGGGUCGUAAAGCUCUUUCGCUGGGGAGGAUAAUGACGGUACCCAGUAAAGAAACCCCGGCUAACUCCGUGCCAGCAGCCGCGGUAAUACGGAGGGGGUUAGCGUUGUUCGGAAUUACUGGGCGUAAAGCGCGCGUAGGCGGAUUGGAAAGUUGGGGGUGAAAUCCCGGGGCUCAACCCUGGAAUGGCCUUCAAAACUCCCAGUCUUGAGGUCGAGAGAGGUGAGUGGAAUUCCGAGUGUAGAGGUGAAAUUCGUAGAUAUUCGGAGGAACACCAGUGGCGAAGGCGGCUCACUGGCUCGAUACUGACGCUGAGGUGCGAAAGCGUGGGGAGCAAACAGGAUUAGAUACCCUAGUAGUCC
rnacentral:rRNA from 1 species